rnacentral:rRNA from 1 species
GAUGAACGCUGGCGGCGUGCCUAAUACAUGCAAGUCGAGCGAAUGGAUUAAGAGCUUGCUCUUAUGAAGUUAGCGGCGGACGGGUGAGUAACACGUGGGUAACCUGCCCAUAAGGCUGGGAUAACUCCGGGAAACCGGGGCUAAUACCGGAUAACAUUUUGAACCGCAUGGUUCGAAAUUGAAAGCCGGCUUCGGCUGUCACUUAUGGAUGGAACCGCGUCGCAUUAGCCAGUUGGUGAGGUAACGGCUCAACAAGGCAACGAUGCGUAGCCGACCUGAGAGGGUGAUCGGCCACACUGGGACUGAGACACGGCCCAGACUCCUACGGGAGGCAGCAGUAGGGAAUCUUCCGCAAUGGACGAAAGUCUGACGGAGCAACGCCGCGUGAGUGAUGAAGGCUUUCGGGUCGUAAAACUCUGUUGUUAGGGAAGAACAAGUGCUAGUUGAAUAAGCUGGCACCUUGACGGUACCUAACCAGAAAGCCACGGCUAACUACGUGCCAGCCGCCGCGGUAA